rnacentral:rRNA from 1 species
ACGUUGAAACACAGAUUCCCAUACGCUCACCGAAAUUAAGCAACGUCGAGCCUGGUCAGCACCUAGAUAGGUAACCGCUUGUGAAUAUCAGGUGCUGUAAG